GAGAUGAUGCUUAUGUUCUUGUAGAGGCCCUGAGUUCAGUUCCCAGCACCCAUCUCAGGAAGCUCAACAACCUCCGGUAACAUUUGCAUGUGUGUCCACACAGAUCUCAGUGUAGACUUGAAAUAACUGGUCUGUGAAAGUUAGGUUGAAAAACAGUUCUCAUUUUUAUCUCAAAAAACAAUCUCUGAAAUAACAGAAGUUACCCUUGAAAAUCUUGUCAGAAAUGAUCUUUCAUAAAUACUGGAUUUCACUUCAAUCUCUUUGUUAUCCAUAGAGGAUCCGAUGCCUUCCUCUGACCUCCACAGGCACUGGGCGUGAAGGUUGCAUGCAGACAGAACACCAGCAGACGAUGGAUGGGUAGGCAGAUGAGUGGAUAGAUGGAUGGAUGAGCAGAUGGGUAGACAGAUAGAUGGAUGAAUAAAUUCACAUUGUAUAUACAGGUACUAGGCAUGUAAGUGGUACACAAUGUACAUAGUGCACACACACACACACACACACAUUGUAUCAGUUAAAAUUUGUGGAAGAGUAGACUGCUUUACUUUGCUUUGUUUUUGGACAUGGUCUCAUGCAGCCAGGGCUGGCCUCAGAUUUGCUCAGUGGCAGGAUAUCUGGUCUUCUUGCCUCUUCCUUCUCUUGUUUAUUUUUAUAUAUUUAGUACAUUUUAGGGUCAGGGUCUUCAUCUAGCCCAGACUGGCCUGGAACUCAGAGCAGUCUGCCUGCCUCUGUCUUUUGAGUGGCAUUAAAGGCCCCGAUUUUAUUCUUAUCAACUAAAUAGUUGAUUCAAAGCUGCAGCCACUAGGGCUCACUUGCCCUUCCUUCUCUCUACUUUCCUCUACAAAGAAGCUUUCCCAGUGCUGAGCUGGCAUGCCGGCCUGUGCAUGCAUGUAUAAAGAGUGCUUUCUAUGAAAUGUCCACAUCCGGCCUUGAGCUCACAGUCACACCACUUCCCUUUGACCAAUCCUCUAAAGCAGGACUCUAAACAUUCUCACUUAUCCAAUCCCUUUCUCUAUUUUUAAAAAUAGAACCAUGGGGUACAUAUAUAGGUGUUCAAAUAGGUAUAAAAUUAAAUGUGGAUUGAGAAUAAAUGGUAAAUUUAAAGCGUUUUCUGACAUUUUAUCUUAUUUUAUUAAUUUUAUUUAUUUUUUUAUGAAACUCAGGUUAGCAACUCAACAGCUUUUAAAAUCAAACAUUGCAAAAAAGACAACACAGAAAGUUGGCAUAGGGAAGAUCUUGAGUGAAUCUUGGAAUGGGGUGAAGAUACACUAUGAAAUUCUUGGAGAAUUAAUAAAUAUUAAAACUCAAAAAUUAUAGAUACCACAGUAUAAUUCAGAGAUGUACUAAUUUGAUAAUAUGCCAAGGAAUGGUGGGAAAAUACUGAAAGCUUUUUUUCCUAAUUAAAAGUAUUGUUUCGGGGCUGUCGAGAUGGCUCAGUGGUUAAGAGCGCCAACUGCUCUUCUGAAGGUCCUGAGUUCAAAUCCCAGCAACCAUAUGGUGGCUCACAACCAUCUGUAAUGGGAUCUGACGCCCUCUUCUGGUGUGUCUGAAGACAGCAACACUGUAUACAAUAAAUAAAUUAAUUAAAAAAAAAAGGAUUGUUUCAAGCUGGGUGUAGUGGCACACGCCUUUAAUCCCAGCACUAGGGAGGAAGAGGCAGGCGGAUUUCUGGGUUCCAGGAUAGCCAGGGCUAUACAGAGAAACCCUGUCUCGAAAAACAAAAACAAAAAAGUAUUGUUUCUCUUACAGCACAGAACUUUUUGUGUAUAAGAAACUAGCUCAUGGCUGGAGAGAUGGCUCAGCGGUUAAGAGCACUGACGGCUCUUCCGAAGGUCCUGAGUUCAAUUCCCAGCAACCACAUGGUGGCUCACAACCAUCUGUAACGAGAUCUGGCGCCCUCUUCUGGAGUGUCUGAAGGCAGCUACAGUGUACUUACAUAACAUCAAUCAAUCAAUCAAUCAAUCAAUCAGUGUACUUACAUAAAAUCAAUCAAUCAA
rnacentral:lncRNA from 1 species